rnacentral:lncRNA from 1 species
GAAGUGAGGGUUAACCUAUAGGGACCCCCAACAUUCUUCAAUCUAAACUAUAUAGAUAAAAAAUCUCGAUAACUAAGAAGUGGAGGCUAACCUACAAGGACCCCCGAAGGUCACUCUUUCUUCAAUGAGUCAACACCUAUGAAGAUCUUAGUCAUACAAAAAGCGAAGGCUAAUCUAAAAACACUUUCGAAGGGCUAACCUAUA